rnacentral:rRNA from 1 species
UAGUCCACGCCGUAAACGAUGUCAACUAGCCGUUGGCCUCAUCUAGAGGUUAGUGGCGAAGCUAACGCGAUAAGUUGACCGCCUGGGGAGUACGCCGGCAACGGUAAACUCAAGGAAUUGACGGGGGCCCGCACAAGCGGUGGAGCAUGUGGUUUAAUUCGAUGCAACGCGAAAAACCUUACCUACCCUUGACAUCCUCAGAACUUGUUAGACGUAUAACUUGGUGCCGUUUCGGGGAACUUGAGUGAACAGGUGCUGCAUGGCUGUCGUUAGCUCGUGUCGUGAGAUGUUGAGUUAAGUCCCGCAACGAGCGCAACCCUUGUCCCUAGUUGCCAGCAUUUCGGAUGGGAACUCUAGGGAGACUGCCGGUGACAAACCGGAGGAAGGUGGGGGAUGACGUCAAGUCAUCAUGGCCCUUAUGGUAGGGCUACACACGUGCUACAAUGGUCGGUACAGAGGGUUGCCAAGCCGCGAGGUGGAGCUAAUCUCAUAAAGCCCGUCGUAGUCCGGAUUGGAGUCUGCAAC